rnacentral:lncRNA from 1 species
CAUGGUUUAAGCCUGGCACAAUACCAGUGCCCCCAUGAGAACACCUACUUCCCUGGCACCUACUGUGAGAUAUGAUCAGAGACAGAGCAAAGCAGGCUCCAACUUAAGGUUAAAAAGAAAAAAAAAAGCAUUUAUUAACCUACAACUACAAAGGAAGACACACAAAACACAAUAGAACAUAAGAUGAAAACCUUCCAAAAUUCUUCCUCCUCCCCCCACCAAAUUUCCAAUUUCAUUGCCACCCUUCAGACAAUCGAUUCUCAGUCUCUUGAGGAGAGAGAAGUCCCUCUUGCGCCACACGCCUUCCAUGUCCAGUGCUCUCACCACUGCACAUGGAUCAGAGCUGCUUCUGGGGUUUUUCAUUUUAAGGAUACUUUGACCAGUUCCAAAGGGAGCACAGUCCUUCUCUUUUUGGGACACCUGUCCCCCCCAAAUUUCACCCCCUGGGGCCGAGGGGUCUCUUGAACAGAGAUCGUCUUCUUCUCUUCUUCGAGACGGAGGGCACCACCACACCCUCCUCACCCGUCGUCUCUGUUCACUCCUCCACAUCACUGCACUCUCUUGGCUCUGAGCCAUCGCCUCCCCCUAGAACGCAGUCUCUGUGGCACAGAAACACCCGUGGUUCUGCUGUGGCUACACAAGAAAAGUCCAGCCCAAAGCCACUUCAUCAUCUCCUCCCACCUAGAAUUUUCCUCAACAUCUUCUCAAUCUCAACAUCUUCUCAAUCUCAUCAACUUCAGGAGGACUCAGCUUUUGCAAGGUUCUCAUCUUCCUCAGAGGGGUUAAAAGUCCCGAGUCUCUCUCUCUGCCGGUUUACUUCGUCAACUCCCACGCCUGGCUGCCCUGCUGGGCACCCCCCCCUUCUCCUUCACGCCGGGCCACUAUCACAGGCACCACAGGCACCGGCUCUGUCUCUCUCUCCCUCUCUCCGGGGGGGGGGGGGGAAUGGAGGAUGGCUGCCCGAAGCCCUUGCAAUGUUCUCCUCCACCCUUGGGCCCAGGCCUGUCCUACCUCUCUCUCUCUGGCCACAUGGCUCCCCUCCCCCCUGCCCAGCCAAAGGAGCUGGGCAGGGGGGUCUACUCACUCUCCAGCGGGACUCCAAGAGGAAGUUCCCCUGGGAGAUCACAGCUUUUAACCCCUGUGUUCUCAGAGGCGUAUCCUGCCCUCAGUGGACAAACCAGGUGCCAAUAUUAAAUCUGAACACUGAUUGGAUUGCCCACACCAUCACAAAAAACUUCAUUUCCUUUCAAACCACGAC